ensembl:snRNA U2 U2 spliceosomal RNA
AUUGUUUCUUGGUUCCCUGGAGCUAAGAUCAAACUAUAGUGUGUGUUUUGGUCAAUAUAAUGUCUGAUGUGUCUUUGAUGUGAGAAGAGCAUAUUAGCUUGAUUUUUGAAAUGAGAGGAUUAGUUGAAUAGGAGCUUGUUUUAUCUAUCCUAUGCAUCAGCUUGGUAUUGCAGUGUUUCCAGGAAUGGUGUAUCUCCU